rnacentral:lncRNA from 1 species
GCUACUCACCAAGUGCCUGAAGUGUCAAUCAUUUCCUGCUUCUCCCAGCUGCAGGACUUGGAACUAGGAAAACAUUCAGUCAGCGUCUAGAGCAGGUCUGGUUAGAAGGAUGAGCUCAUCCCUUUCAGAUGCACACCUGAUCCUCAAGAAGCUGCCCCUCCUCCAGCAAGCAGAUCUUUGUAUGUUUAAAGUGACACCCACAACCUGUACAACCACUUUGCCAGAGCCAAAGUAAGUCUUUCCUUAUACAUGCCUAGUGCCAUGGAAUCAUUUCCUGGUCUAGCCACCUCACACAGCCACUGAACGCAGGUGGCAGUGGCAACAGCUGCUGCUGCUGCUACUAUGGCUUUGUUAGAGAAGGACUUCAUUUUCAGCUACAACGGAGGUCAAGUCCUUCACCACUGCCCUGGAAACACUGCACUGUUUGUUUCAACAGCCCCUUGCCCACAGUCAGAUCUUACCAGAAUCAUGCCUUCUUUCAAAACUCACAACCAUUUUUCUGAACCAACAAUGUAGCACCUCAACAUCUGCCUUAUUCCAUUUGCCCUGUCUAAAGAAAACUAAGAAGUAAUCCUUCAGAGGAAGAAAUGUGCUUAAUUGAGUAGUAAGGAUUAAAUGAGUUGCAGUGUGCGAAGUGUUAAGCCUAGCUCCUGCCACACGAUAUUACUCAACAAGUUAUUCAGAUUUGGCCGGGCACGGUGGCUCAUGCCUAUAAUCCCAGCAAUUUGGGAGGCCAAGGCGGGUGGAUCACGAAGUCAGGAGUCCAAGACCAGCCUGGGCAAUAUGGUGAAACCCUGUCCCUAACAAAAAUACAAAAAUUAGCCGGGCAUGGUAGCGCGUGCCUGUGGUCCCAGCUACUUCAGGGGAUGAGACAAAAGAAUUGCUUGAACCCGGGAGGCGGAGGUUGCAGUGAGCCGAGUUCAUGACACCGCACUCCAGCCUGGGCAACAGAGCGAGAUUCCAUCUCAAAAUGGACCACUGAGCAAGAACUGACAUCUAUCACUUUUCUGAGACAGUUCUGUCUCAGGAAAAAGAAAAAAAAAAGAAAGAAACUUUUCAAACAUCCUAGAAAAAAUGAACCUACACACAGGUCACAAUAAAACAAAAAUGUAUUUUGCAAGAAUACAAUAUAGCCUUACCUCAGCUUCUGUUUUCAUUUAAAAACUCAAAUGCUAUUUGAAAAAAAUGUGCUUUGUAGAACAUGUUUCUUGCUUUCAACAUGGCACGGGAAGGUAAUGCUACCACACAGUGCCAAAACACUAAAAUAUGGCUUUCAGAAAAGCUUGUUAGUUUCAUACCAACAAUAAUAGGGCUAGAUUUCCUAUUUGCAACAAGCUAUGUAAUGAAUAUAACAGCUUUUCCUUAAAAGUCACUUAUCUAUAGAGAAUAUUUAUACAGACAAACUGAAAUAAGAAAAAUUCUAGAAAAGCAACAGUGAGUUUUUUAAAAAACAUUUUUGUACAUUCUUUUUUUUCUCAGUAGAAAUAGGGUCUCACUCUGUUGGCCAGGCUGGUCUUGAACUCCUGGCCUCAAGCAAUCCUCCUGCCUUAGCCUCCCAAAGUGCUGGGAUUACAGACAUAAUCUCACGUAGAUUUUUAAAGAAGCCAUUUACAAAGAUAUAAAAUUUGGGGGCCGGGAGUGGUGGCUCACGCCUGUAAUCCCAGCACUUUGGGAGGCCAAAGCGGGUCAAUCAUCUGAGGUCAGGACUUCAAGACCAGCCUGCCCGCGAUAGCACUGUUUAAAAUGGCGGCUUCAAGGCGUUUCACGGGUGUCCCGGACAGGCGUGGAGGUGGGGCGCAGGCGAGGAUGAAGCUUGAGUUGGCCAGGAGUCGGAAAACGAUUGCAGGCGGGACCGCGUCCGUCGGGGCUGAGGAAACUUAGCGUGGCAGACCCUAAACUGGGAUAACUUUAGGGAUAUGGCCUUCUUUUCCCAGUUGCCUCAAACUUAGAGCAGCGUCGUCUUUAGCCGAAGAUUCAUUUUCCCAGCAUUUUCCUUCUCCAGGCGGAGUAGUUGGAGACAGAGGGCAAGCCAGAAACUGACCUUCCCAUCUCCUCAUUCCCUUCCAUCAAGAACUUUUCAUCGUUCUUUCCCCACCCUGGUUUGUAAAUGGUAUUUGGCUUCAUAAAAACGUUUGUCCACAGGUGCCCUGCUCCAUCAGUUCGCUCCAGCAAUAUAGGAAGUUACCAAAAAAAAAAUUUUUUUUUAUUGACCUUGGAUGGCCACGUCCCCCUUACU